rnacentral:snoRNA from 1 species
GAGCAAGGGCGCCCAAAAAUUAGAUGACGCUACUUGCAUUGAAGGUUGGCAAUAUCAUUCAGCGAUUCUCCGUGCCUAUCAAAUCCACUCCAUUUUGAAUAUGGCCUCGAACAAUUCGCUACAUA